UUUCCCAGUCACGAUAUGGUGAGUACCGUGAGGGAAGGGUGAAAAGUACCCCGGGAGGGGAGUGAAAGAGUUCCUGAAACCGGUCGCAUGCAAGCCGUCAGAGCCUGUGUGGUGAUGGCGUGCCUUUUGAAGAAUGAGCCUGCGAGUUAGUGAUGCGUGGCGAGGUUAACCCGUGGUGGGGGAGUCGUAGCGAAAGCGAGUCCGAUAAGGGCGUGAGUCGCGUGUUCUAGACCCGAAGCGGUGUGAUCUAUCCAUGGCCAGGAUGAAGCGUCGGUAAGACGUCGUGGAGGUCCGAACCCACUUCAGUUAAAAAUGGAGGGGAUGAGUUGUGGAUAGGGGUGAAAGGCUAAUCAAACCCCGUGAUAGCUGGUUCUCCCCGAAAUGCAUUUAGGUGCAGCGUUGCGUGGUUCUUGUUGGAGGUAGAGCACUGGAUGGUCUAGGGGGCUUAUCGGCUUACCGAAAUCAGCCAAACUCCGAAUGCUGGCAAGUGUAGCGUGGCAGUGAGACGGCGGGGGAUAAGCUUCGUCGUCGAGAGGGAAACAGCCCAGAUCAUCAGCUAAGGCCCCUAAGUGGUGACUCAGUGGGAAAGGAUGUGGAGUUGCGUAGACAACCAGGAGGUUGGCUUGGAAGCAGCCAUCCUUGAAAGAGUGCGUAAUAGCUCACUGGUCAAGUGAUUCCGCGCCGAUAAUGUAGCGGGGCUUAAGUUAUCCGCCGAAGCUGUGGCAACCUGUGUGGUUGGGUAGGGGAGCGUCGUGUCAGUGGUGAAGCUGCCGGGUGACUGUGUGGUGGAGUUGAUGCGAGUGAGAAUGCAGGCAUGAGUAGCGUGUGACGGGUGGGAAUCCCGUCCGCCGAUUAUCCAAGGGUUCCAGGGUCAAGUUUGUCUGCCCUGGGUGAGUCGGGUCCUAAGGCGAGGCCGACAGGCGUAGUCGAUGGGUAACCAGUUGAUAUUCUGGUACCGGCUUGUCACCGUCCGUGUCGAGGUGUGUGAUGCUAAGCAUGUGAGCUUGUCUUGGGAGUGUUUUUGAUGCUUCUGGGGUGGGUGAGUGUGUGAACCGAUCAUGUAGUAGGCAAGCUGCGGAGGGACGCAGUGAGGUAGCUCAUCCCCGGUGAUGGUUGUCCGGGGCUAAGUGUGUGGACUGUCUGGUAGGUAAAUCCGCUGGGCGUGAAGGUUGAGGCAUGAUGGGGAGCCCAUGGUUGUGGGUGAGUGAGUGAUCCUGUACUGUCGAGAAAAGCUUCGUGAGCGAGGUGGCGGGUCCGCCCGUACCCUAAACCGACACUGGUGGAUAGGUAGAGUAUACCGAGGCGAUCGAGUGAAUCGUGGUGAAGGAACUCGGCAAAAUGCCCCCGUAACUUCGGGAGAAGGGGGGCUAAUUUUUGUGUAGAGGUUUACCUUCGAAGCAUAAGUUAGACGCAGAGAAUAGGCUCAAGCGACUGUUUACCAAAAACACAGGUCCGUGCGAAGUCGUAAGACGAUGUAUACGGACUGACUCCUGCCCGGUGCUGGAAGGUUAAGGGGAACUGUGAGUGUAUGCGUAGCGGUGAACUUAAGCCCCAGUAAACGGCGGUGGUAACUAUAACCAUCCUAAGGUAGCGAAAUUCCUUGUCGGGUAAGUUCCGACCUGCACGAAUGGAGUAACGAUUUCCCUACUGUCUCCACCAUGAACUCGGUGAAAUUGCAUUACGAGUAAAGAUGCUCGUUACGCGCAGCAGGACGGAAAGACCCCGGGACCUUUACUAUAGUUUGGUAUUGGUGAUUGGGACGGUUUGUGUAGGAUAGGUGGGAGACGUUGAUGCGGCCACGCUAGUGGUGGUGGAGUCGUUGGUGAAAUACCACUCUGAUUGUUCUGGUUAUCUCACUGUGGACCGUGAUCCGGUUCAAGGACAGUGCCUGAUGGGUAGUUUGACUGGGGCGGUCGCCUCCUAAAGGGUAACGGAGGCGCCCAAAGGUUCCCUCAGCCUGGUUGGUAAUCAGGUGGUGAGUGUAAGUGCACAAGGGGACCUAUCGUGACUGGGAAAC
rnacentral:rRNA from 1 species